rnacentral:rRNA from 1 species
GAUGAACGCUGGCGGCGUGCCUAAUACAUGCAAGUCGAGCGAACGGACGAGAAGCUUGCUUUUCUGAUGUUAGCGGCGGACGGGUGAGUAACACGUGGAUAACCUACCUAUAAGACUGGGAUAACUUCGGGAAACCGGAGCUAAUACCGGAUAAUAUUUUGAACCGCAUGGUUCAAAAGUGAAAGACGGUCUUGCUGUCACUUAUAGAUGGAUCCGCGCUGCAUUAGCUAGUUGGUAAGGUAACGGCUUACCAAGGCAACGAUGCAUAGCCGACCUGAGAGGGUGGUCGGCCACACUGGAACUGAGACACGGUCCAGACUCCUACGGGAGGCAGCAGUAGGGAAGCUUCCGCAAUGGGCGAAAGCCUGACGGAGCAGCGCCGCGUGAGUGAUGAAGGUCUUCGGAUCGUAAAACUCUGUUAUUAGGGAAGAACAUAUGUGUAAGUAACUGUGCACAUCUUGACGGUACCUAAUCAGAAAGCCACGGCUAACUACGUG